GUUGUCAUUUGUGGAUUCUACAGUCUUGACCUAGAUAUGCAGAACCCAUGUCAAAAUUCCAGCUAAACUCAGAGCUGUAGGAGCCCCCAAAAGUACAUACAUAUACAUCAGCCACCAAAACUAGACAAGAUUGAUGAAGGUAAGUGCAUUCUUCCAGGAAUCAGAUAUAGAUAUUUCCUGAGAGACACAACUGGAUUAUGCCAAAUACAGAAGUGAAUGCUAGUGGCAAACCAGUGAACUGAAAAUGGACUUCUUGUUUGUAGAUUUUCAGGAAAGAUUACAAGAGCUGAAGGGGCUUUAACACCAUAAGAACGACAAUGCUAAUGAACCAGAGCUUUCUGAUACUAGACCUAUGUUCAAGAAUGUACAUGGACAGAGUUAUGGCUCCAACUGCAUAUGUGGAAGAGGAUGGACUUGGAACCACUUGAAGCAGGGAAGUCCAGAUGCUUCUGACACGCUCCGAGCUCCGAGCUCCUGAUCCCAUGUGUGGAAGGCUCAGAUCAAUUCUAUCUCUUCAAGACAGGAGGGUAGCAUUAUUGUCCUCUGCAAGACUCAACAGAGCAGCCGACUGACACACGUGCACAGACAUACGGCCAAAUAUCGAAUGGAGCUCAGUGAGUCUCACUGAAGGGCUGAGGGAAGUGCAGACAGAGACAGAGGAGCACAAUGGUCCUCACGUGGGGUCACUAAACCAGUCGCUUGUCUGUGGAUCCUGUUCUCCUACCCGGGCUGCGUUUUCAGGACCUGGUGGGAGACGAUGAAUCUAGUUGAGUAGAGACUUG